rnacentral:rRNA from 1 species
CCUACGAGAGGCAGCAGUGAGGAAUAUUGGUCAAUGGGCGCGAGCCUGAACCAGCCAAGUAGCGUGAAGGAUGACUGCCCUACGGGUUGUAAACUUCUUUUAUAAAGGACUAAAGUGAGGCACGUGUGCCUUUUUGUCUGUACUUUAUGAAUAAGGAUCGGCUAACUCCGUGCCAGCAGCCGCGGUAAUACGGAGGAUCCGAGCGUUGUCCGGAUUUAUUGGGUUUAAAGGGAGCGUAGAUGGGUUUUUAAGUCAGUUGUGAAAGUUUGCGGCUUAACCGUAAAAUUGCAAUUGAUACUGGCAGUCUUGAGUACAGGUGAGGGAGGCGGAAUUCGAGGUGUAGCGGUGAAAUGCUUAGAUAUCACGAAGAACUCCGAUUGCGAAGGCAGCUUACUAAACUGCCACUGACAUUGAUGCUCGAAAGUGUGGGUAUCAAACAGGAUUAGAUACCCCAGUAGUC